rnacentral:rRNA from 1 species
AGCGUGCGCAGGCGGUUAUGUAAGACAGAUGUGAAAUCCCCGGGCUCAACCUGGGAACUGCAUUUGUGACUGCAUGGCUAGAGUACGGUAGAGGGGGAGUGGAAUUCCGCGUGUAGCAGUGAAAUGCGUAGAUAUGCGGAGGAACACCGAUGGCGAAGGCAAUCCCCCUGGACCUGUACUGACGCUCAUGCACGAAAGCGUGGGGAGCAAACAGGAUUAGAUACCCUGGU